CAGGAUCCCAGGGAAAAGUUGGGCAGUUGAGGGAGGUUAAGGGCCCAGAAUUGACACACCCCCGGCUACCAGGCAGAGGAGAGAAUCCUCAAGAAGGUCAGGAGGAAAAUCCGUAACAAGCAGUCAGCUCAGGACAGUCGGCGACGGAAGAAAGAAUACAUCGAUGGGCUGGAGAACAGGUACUUUGGGAUCACAUUUCUGAAGGAGGCUAUGUCUGGUUCCCUUCCUCACCAAGGUAGGCAAGGUGAAGGACUCAGAUUGCUGAGCCUUGUCCUGCUUCUCCCCACUCCCUAGGGUGGCAGCCUGUUCUGCACAGAACCAGGAGCUACAGAAGAAAGUCCAGGAGCUGGAGAGACACAACCUGUGAGUGAAAACACCAUGUGUGUGCUGGGGGUGGGGAAGUGCUGAGCACCAUUCUUGGGCCAUGGUUCCCAGAUGAUGGUAGCUCCUUAUUCCUCCUUUCCCAGCUCCUUGGUGGCUCAGCUCCGUCAGCUCCAGACGCUCAUUGCUCAAACCUCAAACAAAGCUGCCCAGACAAGCACUUGCGUUCUGGUACCAUCAGUCUGUCUCCCUCCCAUCUCCCCCAGCCUCCAUCAUCUGUCUCCCCCCACACUUCCAUCCUGAUACCCCCCAUUCCCUAGCUACAUCAGUCUUCCCAACCCAGAAAACCCCAGCUGCCCUCUGCUCCCUUCCUUGACUGUCCCCACAGCCCAAGUGUCUUGCUUUCUUCCAGAUCCUUCUUUUUUCUUUGGUUCUCAUCAUCCUGCCCAGCUUCAGUCCCUUUCAGGGUCUACCAGAAGCGGGGCCUGAGGACUACCAGCCUCGUGGAGGUGAGAAGCUCCCUGGUGAGCAAGGGGGUUUUGCGCACAGUAGUCAAGAAGUGGGAGAGAAGUCCUGCCUGUUCUGUCUAGGGUGCUCCACCCAAGAGAAACAUUCUACUCUUUGCUUUUUCCUUCACCUCACAGUGAUUUCCAGAAAUAUCUUGACCCAUGUGGAUAUGACAGAAAGUCGAGAGACUCCAGUGGAAGAGUCCACAAUGGGAGAGUCACUUAGAGCCCAGAUUGCAAACACGUCGACCAGAACACUGAUAGAGAAGAGGGUUGUGGAGACUGGGUCUGGUGGGCAUGUCAGAACCGUGCUGCAUGCAGAUGAGAUGUGAGCUGGAAGGUUCCUGGCCCACUCCCCUUUACCAUAAGGAACCCAGGGUUCCCCUAUAGCUCUGCUUCCCCCUGGUCUUCCCACUCAGGUGUCUUUGCUCUUGGGGGUCUGAAUCACCUCAGGACAACAUAGGAGAUAUCUGUAUCCUGAGGCCCAGUUAGCCUGUGUAAAAAGAGUAC
rnacentral:lncRNA from 1 species